rnacentral:rRNA from 1 species
CCUACGGGAGGCAGCAGUGGGGAAUAUUGCACAAUGGGGGAAACCCUGAUGCAGCGACGCCGCGUGAAGGAAGAAGUAUUUCGGUAUGUAAACUUCUAUCAGCAGGGAAGAAAAUGACGGUACCUGAGUAAGAAGCCCCGGCUAACUACGUGCCAGCAGCCGCGGUAAUACGUAGGGGGCAAGCGUUAUCCGGAUUUACUGGGUGUAAAGGGAGCGUAGACGGCAGUGCAAGUCUGGAGUGAAAGGCGGGGGCUCAACCCCCGGACUGCUCUGGAAACUGUACGGCUGGAGUGCAGGAGAGGUAAGUGGAAUUCCUAGUGUAGCGGUGAAAUGCGUAGAUAUUAGGAGGAACACCAGUGGCGAAGGCGGCUUACUGGACUGUAACUGACGUUGAGGCUCGAAAGCGUGGGGAGCAAACAGGAUUAGAUACCCCUGUAGUC